AUGGCGGAUUCAAAGAAAGAUCAUUUGUGUGCACUACUGAACAAGAAAAAUUCAGAAAACAAGCGAGAACCUAUACAUAUGAAUCUUGCCGGUAAAAAAUGGGAGGAAAAUAGUUCAAGAUCCACAGAAAAGCAGCGGCACCAGAAACUUCCGGAUAUCAGAGGAAAAAAUUGUCUUCCAGAAAGCACUUAUGAGAAAUCCACAGAGAAUAAUUUCCUAGAAUAUUUAGUAGAACAACAGAAAACUCAAGAUCUAUCCCCUGAACAACAAGAUUCCAAAACAAUUCCUAUGGAACCCAUUAUUCUAAGAAGCCAUGAAGAUCCUUCUUCCCACUCUCAAUUUGAGGUAGCCAAAUCCUUUGAUAUUCCCAACAAUUUUCCUAAUACUAAUGACCAGAUGUCUAAUUCCUUGACAAAAAUCCAAGCGUCAUCUUACGAUAAAUUGACGCUCCAAAAAGAAGUUUCUACCUUUUAUAACAAAAUCGACUCUUCGGUAAACAGAGACCUCGAGAGUUAUAUUACCAGAGUCAUCAAUACCUCUUUCUACAACAUAAUCGAUGAUCCUAAAGGUAUUACCAGAUCAAAAUUUAGAUUGUUCCAUAAUGUUCUCUUCUCCAAGAUCUAUAUCCAACCUAAUCCAAAUAAAACACUUUGUUACCAUUCUCGAACCAAAAACUCCUUUGAAAGAAAAUCUCAGAAUCAAAUCUCGGCUGAAGCCUUCUGCACAAAUAAUGAAAUCCUA
rnacentral:lncRNA from 1 species